AGAUAAUGAGCCUUGAGGUAUCGAAUCCACUAAGAGCAAAUUAUUGUGUGUUUUAAAAGUUUGCUUUUUAUUAAUUUUCAUUGAUUUCCUUUACAUGUCUAUUCAAUAUAUUUUCUCCCCCUUUUUGUCAUCAUAGCAAAAAGGAAGAAAGCACAUCACACAAGCAAGUAGAGAUUAAAUUUGCACAGUAUUGAAGAAAAUUGUCUACUCAUUGUAUUGAUUAUAUAUGUAGGUACACUUGUAGAUACAAAGAGUAAAGCAGUAAGUACAUGUCAAA
rnacentral:lncRNA from 1 species